rnacentral:sRNA from 1 species
AGAGUGCAUCCAUGAACCUAGACGUGUUAUGCUUUGAAUAUCAGUAAGGAAUCGUUUUUCAAGUAAAGCUAUUAACUUGGAAGAUAAAUCUGUUAGAGUAAAAUUCUUUUAGAGGUAAUGGAGAAAGUGUUUAAGUGUUUUGAGAGAGUUUUUUAGGAAAUAGAACUUUUAUUACUUUGCUUUAAACUUGAAUACAACUUCACAACCUUGCUUUGGAUGAUUUAUACAAGGUAGCCCUCUCACCAUUUCCUUCCUUGAAAGCAACUCCAAUCCUCCAAAAUUUAGAUGUCCGAAUCGAAGAUGCCAUAGCCAAGACUCCUCUUUGUAACACAUCUUAAGACAUUGUGCAAUGUCAUUUCGAAUGUUGAGGACAAACAUUCUAUUUUUCGACAUUGGCACCUUGGUAAUGAGAUUGCUUUCUUGGUCUCUUAUUGAAAGGUUAUUAUCUUUUAAUCUAAUAUCAUAACCUUUCUCUAAGAGUUGUCCAAGGCUCAAGAUGUUUGUCUUCAUGCUCGGAAUAUAGUAACCGUUGGAAAUAAAUUGAUGAUCUCCAUUCUUCAAUCGAAUAAGAAUGUUUCCUUUACCUUUUACCUCCAUCUUCGAUUCAUCUCCUAAAGCCACAUUUCCUCUCACCGAUUCAUCAAGCUCCGCGAACAUACUUUUUCUCCCGCACAUGUGAUUACUUGCACCACUAUCGAGGUACCACUUAUGAUUCUCUUCUUGUUCAUCUUUCUUGUAGCUAGCCAUUAAUAACAUGUCUUCUUCUUGAAUUUUUUCUUCAACGUAGUUGGCCUUCUCCUCAAAUGUUUUGUUGCUAGGAGCUUUACAUUCAGAAGCAUAAUGUCCAAACUUCCCACAAUUGUAGCAAAAUCACCUGGGAUAAGAAUCAGGUGUGAUUGUCAAUAGACUACGAAUGGUUAGUGCUCCAGAUCUGCCAAAUCUCACAAUGAGCAAAGGAAUGCCUCUGCGGCUAC